rnacentral:rRNA from 1 species
GUGGGGAAUAUUGGACAAUGGGCGAAAGCCUGAUCCAGCCAUGCCGCGUGUGUGAAGAAGGUCUUCGGAUUGUAAAGCACUUUAAGUUGGGAGGAAGGGCAGUAAGUUAAUACCUUGCUGUUUUGACGUUACCGACAGAAUAAGCACCGGCUAACUUCGUGCCAGCAGCCGCGGUAAUACGAAGGGUGUAAGCGUUAAUCGGAAUUACUGGGCGUAAACCGCGCGUAGGUGGUUUUGUAAGUUGGAUGUGAAAUCCCCGGGCUCAACCUGGGAACUGCCUCCAAAACUGCAUGACUAGAGUACGGUAGAGGGUAGUGGAAUUUCCUGUGUAGCGGUGAAAUGCGUAGAUAUAGGAAGGAACACCAGUGGCGAAGGCGACUACCUGGACUGAUACUGACACUGAGGUGCGAAAGCGUGGGGAGCAAACAGGAUUAGAAACCCCAGUAGUCC